UAAUAUAUUGAUACAAAAAUGGGUUCACGUUCGCGCAGUCCAUCGGUGAAACGCCGCCAUCACAAAAGCAAACAUAAAAAACGCAGCAAAAGUAAGUCACACAAUCGCGACAGGGAACGAGACCACGAGCACGAGCGCAGCAGCUGCACCCGCAGUAGUCGCACGGAUAGAGACAAGUCAGCAGAGAUUAAUCAACAUGGUCGACGAGAGCGCGAUAGACAUCGCAGCGACAGGCACACGCACACGCACCUGCACACACACACAGAGCGCGACUAUCACCGGCACUCGCACUCCAAGUCCCGCAAGCGCUCCAGCUCAUCGAGCAGUGAUAGCCAGCAGUACUCGGACCAUGAGACGCAACGCAGUCGACACAAACGCAGUCGAUUUAAGAAACUAGAUGAGCAAAAUUUACUUCAGGUAGAACGACUUGCCGAAAUGGAAAGGCAACGUCGACAAAAAGAAGCUGAACAGAAAACGAUUGAAGAGCAGGCGGCCAAGCGCAUUGAAAUGCUCGUUAAGAAACGUGUCGAGGAAGAACUCGAAAAGCGGCGCGAUGAAAUCGAACAGGAGGUGAAUCGUCGCGUCGAUACAGCCAAAGCGGAAAUGGAACGUGAUAUGAUGCUGGAGCUGGAGAAGCGACGCGAGCAGAUACGCGAAGAAGAACGCCGUCGCGAGGUAGGUGCUCGUAUUCAGAUUUCGCUGGACGACUGCUGCUACCACAAAUACCCAAACUACCAACUACCACACGCACAGUAUACAGCCUUCGACUACAACUACCGAAAAACACACACAUGUACAAAACCAAUAGCAGUUGCAAACAGUCGUCUUGAAAAAACCCUUUUACGAAUUUGUGUAGCGACGUUUCCAGUUACCAACUGUAAUUACCAGGUGCUAAAGGCUCAGUUUGCCUCAAGUGUGUGUGUGUAUGUGUGUGUGUUGGCGUGUGUGUAUCAGAAAUUAACUAAUACUCAUUUAUAGUAAACUAAAAAAACGAGUCAUGUUCUUGAUACAUAGAUUGCUGAAGUAAUUUGAAGAAUUAGAGCCGAUCAGCAACAGAUUUCUCGGCUUGGAACAAGACUAGCUCCAUUGCACUGCUAAUCUACUAACAUACCUUCAUGCCAUACCAAUUAACUGAUUAACAUUUCGGUUCAUGACCGCAACACACAUUCAUGCACACAGAUACGCUGAGCCACUGGCCACGUCGCUGCACAUUUCGCAUUUCUCCUCCCAAAUAAUUUUUGUAAUUAUUAUUUAUUUUUUUCUACAAACCAAAACGAAAGAAAAUACUCAAAGCCAAAAAUGUGUCUUGCAGUUUUGACGCCCACAAAAGUGCAUAAUUCAAUUUUUGAGUUACUUUUAGCUUCAUCUAUUCUUGUUUGAUUUCAUUUUGAUUGGUUUCUGUAACUCGUUGUUGUUAUUGUUACAUAAUGCGCGCAAUAUAAUGCUUCGAUCAAAUGAGUGAGUGUGCCUGCGUGUGUGCCUGCCUGUGUGUGUGUUUGGGAGAGAUGGGAGUAUGUACGAGGGAACCACAAAUACAACAAACAAACAGAGAAAGCAGUAAAAACACGAGCAUAUACAUAUACACACUUGUAUAUGUCGUAUGUUGCCCCGCUUCCCUUUCACCCCAACCUAAGCAGGAGCUAAUGCUUACGAAGAGAAUUCGGCCACACGGAUGAGAGCAACACUUCGCUCUCUAGGAGAUCGUUCAAGAUGUACCACACACAUACAUGCGUACUCCGUAUCCCGUAUCCCGUAUCACGUAUCACGUAUAUCGUAUAACGCAUACCGUACAGUUUAGUCAAUAAAGUUUAGUGCCCGUUAGUUAGUACAGCUUGGCCUAGUAUUUGGGGGCGGACAUAGCAUAGCUUAGCUUAGCUCCAACUGUACGAAGCAUGCCAAAAACAAAUAGGUUCCCAUACACGGGCGCCUAUUCAUACCAAUAAACGGGUGAGUGAGUUCCUUAAACAAAACGAAACGUGUGAAAUAACCAAACGGAUAAACAAACUUGAAGUGUGUUAAGUGUAUGAACAAUCAUUCGAAUGCGACGAAUUAAGCAUUACGAAUGCAAAUGCAAAUGCAAAUGCAUAAAUAAAACAAAUAGUCUUUAAGGACUCUAAGCUCUCCCUCUAGGAACAUUCGUCAUAGGACCACCAAAGCUGAUCAGACUUAAGAUUGUUAUCGUAACUCAUAAGCCGGAUAACCAUUUGUCAAUCAAUGGGUAUGACUGUACUUGUUGUUGUUGUCGUGCCACAAAUGUUAAUUUUAUGUAUGUUUGUUUUCUUCAAACAUUUAUCGUUUGAUCGAGACGCUUUUAUAAUUUGAUUCCUAAACACCAAAAUAUGUAAUGUAAUUCUGAUUAAACAACUAUGUAGCUGAAUACCGUAAAUCAAAAUGCAAAUUCGCAGCAAAGCCAAAAAUUAACAAAAUGAUUUAGCCAUUAAACUGGAAAAAUGAACUAUUUCAAUAGAGGAGGAAAAGCAAAAACGAGAAGAGCUCGAAGAAAUUUUGGCCGAAAAUAAUC